GCAGGCGACGCUUAUCAAUAGCGGCCCUGGCCUCCUCCCUCUGCUCUCUGUAACAUAACAGGCUGGCAGCGCCCAGAGAGGAUUUUGACUAUUCCAGUUUUAGUAAAAGGCUGGGGGAAAUCCAUAUAAGCAAGUCUAUUGUUCUUGGGGAGAAAAAGAGUAUGACUUUGGUGUAGAGAAAAGAGGACAGAAUCUGCAGAGGGACAGGUAGGAGGCAGGAUGACAGUCCUGGAGAAUGCCACAGGUGGAGGCCAGAACAUGGUGGAUCCGGGCAAAUCUGAGCUGACAGUGGGCCAGGAUGAGCUGCCUCGCAGGGAAGGUGCAGCCCAACCCCAGCUUCCCAGGAAAGACUUCCCCCUGAGUUCUUCUCAACUCAUCUCUGCAGACCGGCUUGCUCUACUCUUCCUUUAUCAUGGCAGAAUGUGCUUGGCUCCCAGGCUGACAUGGUGCAGAUGCAGCCACACAUACCAACUGACUCACAAUCCGUCAGGGGCCCAAACUCAAGCUUUCAGGUCUCAGCUCAAAUACCACCUCCUUGGAGAAAUCUCUGCUGACCACACUUGCUGAACUGACAGCCAGCUCCUCCCCUGCCCUUCUCUGAUAUGGGAUGAAUUGUGUCCCUCUCUCUUUGCAAAAACAUUUAUGUCAGUACCAUCCGAGCCCCGGAUACGUCAGAAUGUGACUGUUUUUGGAGAUAGGGCCUUUAAGGGGGCAAUUAAGUUAAAAUGAGGUCUUAAUCUAAUACGAAUGUGUCCUUCUAACAAGAGGAGAUUAGGACACAGACAGGCAUAUAAGAAAGACCAUGUGAAGAUAUAGAGAGACGUAAAAGCCAAGGAGAGAGGCCUCAGAAGAAACCCACCCUUCCAACAUCUGAUCUUGGACUUCUGGCCUCCAGAAUUGGGAGAAAAUAAAUUUCUGUUAUUUAAGUUACUCAGUUCCUG
rnacentral:lncRNA from 1 species